UACGGAGGGAGCAAGCGUUGUCCGGAUUUACUGGGCGUAAAGAGCGCGUAGGUGGCCUAUUAAGUCGGCUGUGAAAGCGCUGGGCUCAACCCAGCAUCGCCAGUCGAUACUGGUGGACUUGAGUCCGGGAGAGGGAAGUGGAAUUGCUGGUGUAGCGGUGGAAUGCGUAGAUAUCAGCAAGAACACCGGUGGCGAAGGCGGCUUCCUGGACCGGUACUGACACUGAGGCGCGAAAGCUAGGGGAGCGAACGGG
rnacentral:misc_RNA from 1 species